rnacentral:rRNA from 1 species
AGUGAACGCUGGCGGCAGGCCUAACACAUGCAAGUCGAGCGGCAGCGGGUCGUAGCAAUACGAUGCCGGCGAGCGGCGGACGGGUGAGAAAUACAUCGGAAUCUACCCAGUCGUGGGGGAUAACGUAGGGAAACUUACGCUAAUACCGCAUACGACCUGAGGGUGAAAGCAGGGGACCGCAAGGCCUUGCGCGAUUGGAUGAGCCGAUGUCGGAUUAGCUAGUUGGUGAGGUAAAGGCUCACCAAGGCGACGAUCCGUAGCUGGUCUGAGAGGAUGAUCAGCCACACUGGAACUGAGACACGGUCCAGACUCCUACGGGAGGCAGCAGUGGGGAAUAUUGGACAAUGGGCGCAAGCCUGAUCCAGCCAUGCCGCGUGUGUGAAGAAGGCCUUCGGGUUGUAAAGCACUUUUGUCCGGGAAGAAAUCUUCCGACCUAAUACGUCGGGAGGAUGACGGUACCGGAAGAAUAAGCACCGGCUAACUUCGUGCCAGCCGCCGCCGUAA